rnacentral:lncRNA from 1 species
GGUAAUCGAUUGUCUUUGAUAUACCAUAGAUUUUACCACUUUUACACCAUGGUAUAUGUGCUUUUAGAGAUUAUUAUAUGUGUUUGGAGUAUGUUUUAGAGUGUUUUUAGGUUCAGGUACGUUUUGGAGAACUUUGGUGAUUUUGGGGCCUAUCGAGGUGCAGUACUGCGCAGAUGUGUCAGAUGUUUAGCUAUGGAUGGAGACCUUCCCACGGUUCUGUUGAGCUAAUAUUUUGA